UUACGAGAAUCGCGGUCUACGUCCUGACCGUUGGGCUGUUGACCGUUAAAUUAAUUAACGGAAACUAAGCAUGUAGAGCCAAAGGCAGAGUACUGGCGGACGCGGGUUCAACUCCCGCCGCCUCCACCA
rnacentral:tmRNA from 1 species